CCUACGGGUGGCAGCAGUGAGGAAUAUUGGUCAAUGACGGAAGUCUGAACCAGCCAUGCCGCGUGCAGGGAGGCGGCUCUAUGAAUUGUAAACUGCUUUUGUACAAGGGUAAAACUUGAUAAGUGUAUUCAGCUGAAAGUACUGUACCAAUAAGGAUCGGCUAACUCCGUGCCAGCCGCCGCGGUAAUGCGGAGGAUCAAAGCGUUAUCAGGAUUUAUUGGGUUUAAAGGGUGCGUAGGCGGAUUGAUAAGUUAGAGAUGAAAUGUCCGGGCUUAACUCGGGAACUGCCUCUAAUACUGGUGAUCGAGAGAGUAGAUGCGGUAGGCGGAAUGUAUGGUGAAGCGGUGAAAUGCUUAGAGAUCAUACAGAACACCGAUUGCGAAGGCAGCUUACCAAUCUAUAUCUGACGUUGAGGCACGAAAGCGUGGGGAGCAAACAGGAUUAGAUACCCGAGUAGUC
rnacentral:rRNA from 1 species